rnacentral:rRNA from 1 species
GCCCUUAUGUCUUGGGCUUCCGCAUGCUACAAUGGCCGGUACAAAGGGCUGCAAUACCGUGAGGUGGAGCGAAUCCCAAAAAGCCGGUCCCAGUUCGGAUUGAGGUCUGCAACUCGACCUCAUGAAGUCGGAGUCGCUAGUAAUCGCAGAUCAGCAACGCUGCGGUGAAUACGUUCCCGGGACUUGUACACACCGCCCGUCAAGUCAUGAAAGUCGGUAACACCUGAAGCCGGUGGCCCAACCCUUGUGGAGGGAGCCGUCGAAGGUGGGAUCGGUAAUUAGGACUAAGUCGUAACAAGGUAGCCGUACCGGAAGGUGCGGUUGGAUCACCUC